rnacentral:rRNA from 1 species
CAAAUCUUGACAUCCUUUGACCGCUCUAGAGAUAGAGUCUUCCCCUUCGGGGGACAAAGUGACAGGUGGUGCAUGGUUGUCGUCAGCUCGUGUCGUGAGAUGUUGGGUUAAGUCCCGCAACGAGCGCAACCCUUAAGCUUAGUUGCCAUCAUUAAGUUGGGCACUCUAAGUUGACUGCCGGUGACAAACCGGAGGAAGGUGGGGAUGACGUCAAAUCAUCAUGCCCCUUAUGAUUUGGGCUACACACGUGCUACAAUGGACAAUACAAAGGGCAGCUAAACCGCGAGGUCAAGCAAAUCCCAUAAAGUUGUUCUCAGUUCGGAUUGUAGUCUGCAACUCGACUACAUGAAGCUGGAAUCGCUAGUAAUCGUAGAUCAGCAUGCUACGGUG